GAUGAACGCUGGCGGCGUGCCUAAUACAUGCAAGUCGAGCGAACAGACGAGGAGCUUGCUCCUCUGACGUUAGCGGCGGACGGGUGAGUAACACGGGGAUAACCUACCUAUAAGACUUGGAUAACUUCGGGAAACCGGAGCUAAUACCGGAUAAUAUAUUGAACCGCAUGGUUCAAUAGUGAUAGACGGUUUUGAUGUCACUUAUAGAUGGAUCAGCGCCGCAUUAGCUAGUUGGUAAGGUAACGGCUUACCAAGGCAACGAGGCGUAGCCGCCCUGAGGGGGUGGAUGGACACACGGGAACUGAGAGACGGUGCCGACACCUGAGGGAGGCCGCAGUAGGGAAUCCUACGCAAUGGGCGAGAGCCUGACAGAGCACCACGGCGUGAGUGCUGAAGGUCUUAGGAUGGUAAAACUAUGUUAUUAGGGAAGAACAAAUGUGUAAGUAACUAUGCACAUAAUGACGGUACCUGACCAGAAAGCCCCGGCUAACUACGUG
rnacentral:rRNA from 1 species